rnacentral:rRNA from 1 species
UACAGAGGUCUCAAGCGUUGUUCGGAUUCAUUGGGCGUAAAGGGUGCGUAGGCGGCGCGGUAAGUCGGGUGUGAAAUCUCGGAGCUUAACUCCGAAACUGCAUUCGAUACUGCCGUGCUUGAGGACUGGAGAGGAGACUGGAAUUUACGGUGUAGCGGUGAAAUGCGUAGAUAUCGUAAGGAAGACCAGUGGCGAAGGCGGGUCUCUGGACAGUUCCUGACGCUGAGGCACGAAGGUCAGGGGGGAGCAAACGGG